UGUAAAAUAAAUGAAUAAAUCUUUAAAAAAAAAAUGUUUAAAAAAAAAAGACAGUCCAUUUAUAUAUAUAUAUAUGAAUUAUUAAUAGCCUUUCACAAGUUAUUUCCAAAAGCCCAUUCGAACUUUUUACAAUGUGAUGUGAACUCAGUAUCAAGGGAGUUGCAAGAAAUAGGACUUGGUGAUAGACUAGAAAGGCGAGGGAGUGGUGAGGGGGAAAUAGGAGUUCCAUUCCCCUGCAAUGUUGUAUAGUCUCACAAUGUUGUGAUAUUUUCUGUGUGUCUUUCCUAGUCUAAGUAGUCUUCCCUGGAUGUUUUUGCAUUCCUAAGCUACCACACUACUUCCAUUUAUUUACCAUUUGAAAGGGUGUGCUCCAUUUGCUCUAUUUCCCCAGUUUUUCAGUCUCUUCGUGCUCUCUUCUAUUAAUCCACCAGUUCUCUACUGAAAUCACUCAUUCAAGUGUCCUAAUUCAUCAGUUCAUCAAUGGCUUCUUUUUAUCCUUAACCAGUAUACUCUUUCUUGCAGUUAACAGUUACCACUUUCCCUUAAUUAAAAAGUGUCUUGUUUUUCAUGAACCCAAACCUCCUUGCUCUCUCUUAUUUUACUUCAUAAACUCUUCCACUAGUUCUUCUCCCAGUCUCUUCAAUUCAAGUUCCCUAGAGCAGCACUACUCAAAAUGUGGUCCUUUUGAAACCGGUGGCGAGGGCCACAAAAGAGCAACAGGCAGGAGGCCGGAUGGAAGGGUGGAACGGCCACCCACCCUCCCGGGCUCUGAGACCAGGGAACCAUCAAAUGCCUCAAAAACCAAAACCAAGAGCUAUAGCCUAACAAGGACAGUGCCCGAUAAGAGGACAAGUCACUGUCUGUGGGUUCUCACCUGCGCCCACAAUUGCAGGAGACCUUAGACUCCAGGAACAACAACCAUGGGGUUUAUUUUACAAACAGGGGAAACAAAGUGCUCACUGUAUCCACAGGUGGCGGCUGCCUCACCCAGGCAGCAUCAGUGAUGGUCACCACCGGUCACCAGGAUUGCUGGACAGCUCUAGCCAGUAGUGAUGGCCACUCCUGGUCCCGCAGAGGUGGUGUCAGAGACACCCAGCGUUAACAGCUCUUUGUGAGUUGUUGGGUUACAACAACAACAAACAGCUCUUUAAGACACCAGGCCCAGGGCCAUUGGUGCUCCUUCCAGGCAAUGUCAGAGACAGGACCCAGGCCCAGUCUGUGACAGAGUCCUUUGGCUUCUCUUCCCUCCUCAGAGGGUGGCUGCUGGAUGCUUCUUUUCUUCUUUCUUCAGAGGCUGGAACUGUCUCCUUUUCUCCAGAGGCUAGCGGUGGUGUUUCUGGGCUGGCUUCAUCUCCCCUCUUCUCCAGGGGAUGGCAUCAUCUCUCCCUGUGUGGUGGCUUCCUUGUCUCCUUCACCUCCCUCCGACCUCGGCUUGUAUCCUCUUUAAGGGUGCCCCACCCACCAGUCUGAUGGGACCAUUUUUCAAUCCUUAUCAGACCAUCUAGCAAUCAGCCCAUAGCACUUGAUUGGUCCAUUCCACACCCCAGGGCGUGUGCUUUACAUAAAAGGGCUCUGAGGAGCAACUGCCACAGCUGACCUGUGGUGAGAGGCUGGGUCUUGGCAACCAAAGUCUGAUUGGACCAUUUAGCACCAAUCAGCUCGUAGCUCGAACCUAAUUGGUCCAUUCCAUGAUCCAGGAAGUACACCGUUACAUAAGAGGUCUCUGAGGAGCAACUGCCACAACUGACAAAAAGGCAGUUACUGAGCUCUGAGGAGCAAUUGCCACAACCUACUUGUGAUGGAGCAACAGGUUGACAACACCACUGCUCUUGCCGGCUCCCAUCACUGAGGAAGCUGGGUUCCAGUAACACUUUGACCAGUGCCAGUCAGAAAAACUGUCUUUAGUCCAUAAGGAGAUAAGUAUGGAAAUUAACAAGAACAGAUUGGGUUGUGAGUUGAUACCUGCUGAGUUCCCAGAUGAGCAUAUGCCAUGAUUAUGAGGAAAGCUCGGUCUGAUUCAUAUUCUCCAGAGCUGUAAACAAACAGAGGCAUAUGUAAUCAAUCAAAUACAUGAAACUCAACUCCCAACCACUUGCUAUGUGGAAGAGAUGAAGGGUAAAGACUGGAGAGAAAAGGAGACCAAAAGAGAGGAUAGAUGGAAGACAAAAAAUUCUCAAAAGCCUCACAUGUCUUUUCCCAGGGCUUUCCCUCUACACAUUAUCAUCAGAGGUAACCACCUCCAGGGUUGUGUGCUCUUGCCUCACAAGUGGUUUCUUAUGAUUCAGAACCACUUCCUGAAGAAGGAAUUGGAGAGAGGUAGAGUAUAAGUUCCAUGACGUCAAGGCAUCUUUUCAUCUUGCUCACUACAAUAUCCCUAGUUUUCUAAAUUCCUGCUAUGAGUGAGACCAUCCGGUAUUUAUGGAGAGCUGUGUGGAGAUUCCUCAACCUGCUAAAGAUGGAGCUUCCAUAUGAUCCAGCAAUUCCACUCCUAGGUAUUUACCCAAAGGACACAGAAACAUGAAUUCAAAAGGGCACCUGCACACAUACGUUUACUGCAACACCAUUUACAGUAGCUAAUCUGUGGGAACAACCCAAAUGCCCAAAAAUAGAUGGCUGGAUCAAGAAGAUGUGGUAUAUAUACACAAUGGAAUACUACUCAGCAAUCAAAAAAGAUAAACUCAUGCAAUUUGUAGCAACAUGGAUGGAGCUGGAAGGGAUCAUGCUCAGCAAAAUAAGCCAGAAAGAAUAAGAUUUUCUUAGUUUUUAUCUAAUGUUCUUUGCCUAUUCCAAGAUCCAUGCAAGAUUCUACCUUAUGUUUAGUUGCCAUAUCUCCUAAGGUGUCUCUUGACUGUGAACGUUUCUCAGUCUUUCCUUAUUUUUGAUGACCUUGGCAUUUUUGAUCAGUUAGCUGUGUUGUAGAGUAUUCCUUAACUGGAAUUUGUCUGAUAAGGUAUGGGUUUGGAGGAAAAUCACAGACAUUCCAUCAAAGGUACUUGCUAUCAGCAUGCCUUAUCACUAAUAAUAUUGACCUUGAUCACCUGUCUGAGGUAGUUCUUUUCACUGUAAGUUUCCCCUGCCUACACCACUCUUUAUAUACUGUACUUAUUGGAAGUUACUAUGAGCAGCCUACAAUCAAAAGGUGGGAAGAUACACAUCACCUCCUUGUGGUGGAGUACCUACAUUACUUAGAAUUCUACACUAGAGAUUUGCCUAUUCUCAAUUUAUUCAUUUGUCCAAUCAUUUAUUUACAUCAGUGUAGACUUCUGGAUAUUUAUUUAGGUUAUAAUUCAAUACUAUGUUAUUCAUUUUUAUUCAAAUUGUUCCAGUUUUCACCGUUGGGAACUCUCAGUUGAUUCCUAUGACCUUUUAACUUCUUCAUCAUAAAUUUUCUUUUCUUUCUUUUUGAUGCACUUUCUUUCUAGAACUACAAGAUAUUCAUCAUGUAUAUUUUCUGUACUACAGAAUACAAGUAUUACAACAGAAUCAGCCUUUUCUUCAAGGAAACCCUUUAAAUGGAGUUCUUUUAAAUGAAGAAUGGUAUUAGAAACCAAGAACCAAAAUCCUGACCCUAGGUGUGCUUAUUGUUAUCAGAGGGCAAGGGUCAUCACUUCUAGGUCCUCUUAAGAAAAUAGACAAGAUCAGGAAAAUAUAUGUGUGUAUAUACACACAAAUAUUUCUACUUGUAAACAUGUGUCCCUAUUAAGCAAACAUGUGUUCAUGCUGAUGUGUCCAUCGCUAAUUCAGUACCACAUGAAUCAUUCUAUCUUUCAUGCCUUAUUAACCUGAAACCUUCCACUUCAACAGUGAGAAACCUGGCUCCCACAUCUGCCAUCUCUUUACUGAAUUGUUCAAUUCCUGUAUAUAUGUAUAGUGGUUUCAGAAUUGUUAACUUGUACUCCCUUGAGAAAUGACUUUUUCAACUAGAGUGCAGUGUGUGUAUACCAUUUUAUUUUGCCUUUAGUCUUACAAAUGAAUUCUUACUCAGAUCAGCACCUUUUACAUUCACCCCCUUCAAUGAGGUUGCUUCACACAAUUAUAAUAUAGUAAGAUUCUUUUGCCAAAUUCUGCACUCCAUUCUGGGAUCACCUAACCGCCUAAAUAAUUUUUUCAUUUGCAUAUAUUCAGGUUCCCUCUUUGUGCUAUAAAACUUUAUGGAUUUUAGUGCUAUAUAUCCCUCAUUAUAAUAUCAUACAAAAGAGUUUUACCACCCUAAAAAGUCCUCUGUGCUUCAUCUGUUCACCCCACCUCCUGACCCUCUGACAACCACUCAUCUGUUUACCACCUCGAUAGUUUUGCCUUUUUCAAAAUGUAAUUACAUAGACUGUUUUGCUUUACUUAACUUUUUAUUUUUAUUUUUUUAUACAAGAACCAGGGUAUAGGCCAGAUGUGAGGGAGGGUGAGAGGCAUCACCAGAGACACAGCAGGGAGCAGAUCAGGCAAACCGACCAAAACACACUGCUGAGAGGAGCAGCGGGCAAGACAGAAAUCUUCCACGCCAUCUGGGCAUCUCCACGGCUGGCCGGGAAUUGAACCGGCACCAGUCUCACAGUGCUGCACUCCAACUGCGCCUCAACCAGUCUCACAGUGCUGCACUCAACUGCCUGCGCCACCAGGGAGACCCUGCUUUACUUAACUUUAUUCACUUAAGAGUCUUCCAUGUCUAUGCACGACUUGAUAUCUCAUUUCUUGAUAGCAUUCCAUUAUAUGACUGUACUAGUAUUUGUUUAUGUAUUCUAUUACAUAUGUGGCUUUCAGUUAAGAAUUUUAUUAAUAAAUAACAAACUUAAAAUGAGUCAGUUACAGACUUUCAAAAUAGUUACUGUUAACACUAGGAUGUUGAGAAGUAGAACAGUUACAUUACUUGCUAUACAACAUGGUAUAGAGGUGAAGAACACAGGCUCUGAAUUCCGACUGCCUAGGCACUGCUACCUUCCAGAAUGUGUCAACUGGAUUAGAUUAACCUUCCUGGGCCUCAGAGUCCUUGUCUGUAAACAAAGAUGCUAAUUGUACUGAUAGAGAAUGAAACAGAACCUGACUCAAUAAACAUUACCUAUCAUAGUUUAUUAUAUUUUUUCUCUGUCAUAUAACAAACGCUUUAUACACCUUCCUUAAUUCUUUCCAACAAAAUUUCAAAGGGGCAUGAUUAUUCCUCUUUUGCAAUGGAUAGCCUGAAAUACAGAGACCACAAAUCAAUGGAAUCUACACUUGAAUCUGAUCUAUCAUAUUAUGAAGAUUCUCAUCUUUUAACCUUAGCACUGGAAUUCUUAAGAGCAUAACAAUAAGAAAAGUCCUCUUUCAGUCAAUCUGCCUGUUCUGUUCCCCACUCUGUCUCUGGUGAAUGCUUUCACCUCCCCCCCCCACCACCUCUGGUCUAUACCCCAGUUCUUGUAUGUAUAAAUAAACAAAUCUUUAAAAAAAAAAAAAAAGAAACUGUACUUGGAGCAUCUUCAUCACUUUAAAUUCACACAUUUUAUGAAAGACCAACUGCAAUGUAUGAAAGAGACACUGCUCAGGGUGAUGAAAAAUCUAGAAGCCCUUUUAAGUGAGGUGCUACUAAAGAACAAGGGAUAGUUAGUAUGGAAGCUAAAAUAGUUAUGUAGGAAAUACAGUAAAAUG